AAUCCCUAACCAAUAAUUCAACUUGACAAGAACAGAUUAGAUAUUUUUCCUGUGCUGAGUAUGGAUGUAGAGUUGUGAAAUGGAAGACAAGGGAAAUUUAGAAAGAUGUGGAGAUUCAAAGUGUUCAACCUUGUUGCAUUUGCCACAAUAUUUACAUCCUAUUUCUUGGGAUUAUAUUAUUUCCCCAGCAGUGGUUUCUUCUUACUUUGAGACAUAACUGAAUUGAGUAUCUCGUUUGCACUGCAACUGCAAUUUUGACAGUCCAGUCUUGAUAUUGGUCCUCAGUUUAUCUGCUCUGCCACUUUAGGAGAUAAGGGAUUGGUUCAAAGUUACCACCAAGGCUUUCUCGUUUUUGAUUUAUAUUCUGAGUUGGAAUUUCACAGCCUUUAGUUCCUCUUUUUCGUGUGUAAACUACGUAGGACAUCUAGUAAAAGGUAAUGUAUAUACAAUAUUAAUGAUCACUAUUGUUUUUCAACACCUAAACUACCCACAAAAUUUGUGGUUGAUUAUGUUCCCUGUUACAGGCUGUUGCGGGACCAGCCACUGCCAGGGUCACUUCUGUUCUUGUGUUCAGCUCCAGUCACCCGCACCAGUGACCUCUUCUCUGAAGUAAGUUACAGGAUAUCAAAGGAGGAGAGUGAACAUCAUCCAAGGAUUUGGAGUCCUCUUCUGGGAAAAAGCAUUCUGGGGCCAGAGAUGCAAAUUAACCUGCCACAUACAGUCCUAUGCGGUGAAGAAUUGUCCAAGUCAAAAUGUUAAUAGUGAACAUGGAGAAACACUUAUGAAAAAACAGAUCAAAAGGAAUGACAGAAAGUAGGUACUGAGAUAAUCAAUGCUCUUCUGCUUUGAGGCAUAUUUCAA
rnacentral:lncRNA from 1 species